rnacentral:rRNA from 1 species
UACGGGGGGGUAAGCGUUGUUCGGAAUUACUGGGCGUAAAGGGCUCGUAGGCGGCCAACUAAGUCGGACGUGAAAUCCCUCAGCUUAACUGGGGAACUGCGUCCGAUACUGGAUGGCUUGGAUUUGGGAGAGGGAUGCGGAAUUCCAGGUGUAGCGGUGAAAUGCGUAGAUAUCAGGAGGAACACCAAUUGCGAAAGCAGCUCGCUGGGACGUAACUGACGCUGAGACGCGAAAGCGUGGGGAGCAAACAGG